GGGAAUGUGGCUUAGUGGUAGAGUGCUUGCCUACCAUGCAUGAAGCCCUAGGUUUGAUUCCUCAGUACUA
rnacentral:tRNA from 1 species